rnacentral:lncRNA from 1 species
GUAGAUUACACUGAUUUUCAGGCCUCCUAUUGCUUUACCUAAAGGCAUAGCAGAAAUGACAGUUAAACUGUAAACUUGAGACUUCACGGUUUACAUCAGUCUGACAUAAAUGGGCAUAAGUCCAUACUCUGAARUAGUUGCUACUUCAAUUGAAGGGCUGGAUAGGGCAAAUCUCCCCAUGACAAAUGAAGAUGUUUGUGUUUACAGUAUUCAGGUGGCAAGYAACAGUGUUCUGGAGUUUUUGAGGGUUUUGUGGUUCUUUCAAAGGGAAGUAGGGGAACAAGUUCUCAGUGCAAAGUCAAAAUUCUAGGGAAUACAGCAGUAAUGGAUAAAAAGAUUGUAACUCCUCUAGCAGCCGUUGGUCAGUCCAAUUUGACAUCUUUUCUCAGACUUCAGUGUUUCAGACCAACGGAGCAAAGAAGGACGCUGAAGAAGUUGAAGCUUUCUCAAUACAAAUAACAGAACCCCCAGGCUUUGCUUUCCACAAUGGCUAGCUCAGCACCUUUUGUAAGCAAUGAUCUCCCUUGGGCAUGCAGGCAGGGAACAGGGAAAAGCAGAGGAGACCAACACAUUCAGGUAUGUAAGCGGAAAAAAACCUGCUGCUGUCAGUGCAUUUAGAAAGCCCAAGCCCAGACCUCUGUGAUCAAAGAACAGCAUCACAGCAGUGAUCACCUCCAUUUCUUUCUCCUGAUGAAUUCUCUCUUUCACCUCUAGCACAAAAUCAGAUCUGAAUUAAGACAAAAAGUACUGGCAUGUACCUGCGUGUGUGGACUGCYCCAGUACAGAAACUUGACAAAACCAAUGUUUAUCAGUUCUUGGCUAAUCCAAGGUGGGCAAGRGUGAUAGGAGGGAAGCAAAAGUGGUGGGAGGGAGAAGAAAACUCCCUAUCAAAUCGGCACCKGAAAGGAAUCGGCAGGGCUCUGCUCAGGAAAGGAAGCUGCUUUCCAGAGAGGCAAGAGUGGGGCUCACAGUGCAGUUGUGGUGUGCUUGCAGCUCUUAUCAUCCUAUGCCUGUACCCCUAUCUACAGAAUCCUGUGCCUGCAUUUUUCAAGGCCUCUGCUAUCGUGCUACGCCUGUAUUUCUCUAGCUACAUCAUUGAGCUAGUCAUAAAUGUCUCAUUCUACAUAGAAUAACUGUUUGUUACUAGUAGCUAUAUAAAACUGUCAUUGUAUUACACAAAGAUAAACAAAAGUAAAAUAAAUUAGCCAUGGGYACCUGAUCA